UCUCAGUGCAACAUCCGCCUAAUAACACGCCCAAGCUUAGAGAUCAACUCCAGCCUUAACAUAAGCAUGCGCCCGUGCAAGAUUUGCAUCGUCGGUAGGAUGCGAACUCCCGUGAUAAGAACUUUCCGCCACACCACCUCAAGCAAUACAACCGAAUGACAUUGCCCUCAGAGUGCAACAUCCGAUCAUUAGCACGUUGGAGCACA
rnacentral:lncRNA from 1 species